rnacentral:rRNA from 1 species
AACGCGAAGAACCUUACCUGGGCUUGACAUGUCUCUGACAGCUGUGGAAACACAGUCUCCCUUCGGGGCAGAGUCACAGGUGGUGCAUGGCUGUCGUCAGCUCGUGUCGUGAGAUGUUGGGUUAAGUCCCGCAACGAGCGCAACCCCCGUCGCAUGUUGCCAGCAUUUAGUUGGGGACUCAUGCGAGACUGCCGGUGACAAACCGGAGGAAGGUGGGGAUGACGUCAAGUCAUCAUGCCCCUUAUGUCCAGGGCUACACACGUGCUACAUUGGCGCGUACAGAGGGCUGCGAUACCGCGAGGUGGAGCGAAUCCCUCAAAGCGCGUCUCGGUUCGGAUUGCAGGCUGAAACCCGCCUGCAUGAAGGCGGAGUUGCUAGUAAUCGCGGAUCAGCAAUGCCGCGGUGAAUACGUCCCGGGCUUGUACACACCGGACACGC